rnacentral:rRNA from 1 species
AUUGAACGCUGGCGGCAGGCUUAACACAUGCAAGUCGAGCGAGCGGCGGACGGGUGAGUAAUGUCUGGGAAACUGCCUGAUGGAGGGGGAUAACUACUGGAAACGGUAGCUAAUACCACAUACCAUCAGCUGUGCCCAGAUGGGAUUAGCUAGUAGGUGGGGUAAUGGCUCACCUAGGCGACGAUCCCUAGCUGGUCUGAGAGGAUGACCAGCCACACUGGAACUGAGACACGGUCCAGACUCCUACGGUAGGCAGCAGUGGGGAAUAUUGGACAAUGGGGGCAAGCCUUACGCAGCCAUGCCGCGUGAGUGAAGAAGGCCUUCGGGUUGUAAAGUUCUUUCGGUGGCGAGGCGUUAACUACAGAAGAAGCACCGGCUAACUCCGUGCCAGCAGCCGCGGUAAUAC